rnacentral:rRNA from 1 species
UGGGUGGCGACCGGCGCACGGGUGCGUAACGCGUAUCCAACCUUCCCGUUACUCUUGGAUAGCCUUCCGAAAGGGAGAUUAAUACAAGAUGGUAUUCAAAUUCCGCAUGUUAUUUGAAUUAAAGAUUUAUCGGUAACGGAUGGGGAUGCGUGACAUUAGAUAGUAGGCGGGGUAACGGCCCACCUAGUCUACGAUGUCUAGGGGUUCUGAGAGGAAGGUCCCCCACACUGGAACUGAGACACGGUCCAGACUCCUACGGGAGGCAGCAGUGAGGAAUAUUGGUCAAUGGUCGGAAGACUGAACCAGCCAAGUAGCGUGAAGGAUGAAGGUUCUAUGGAUUGUAAACUUCUUUUAUACGGGAAUAAAACCUCCCACGUGUGGGAGCUUGUAUGUACCGUAUGAAUAAGCAUCGGCUAACUCCGUG